UCCGCUCAAACCAACCAAAGAAGAAAUGAUUUAAGUACAACACAAGCAAACAUAAUAGCAAGUCUAUAGCAUCCACAUGGGGCAAUAACUAAAAGAAUUGAAUCAAGAAAGAAUGAGAAAAUUCAUCAUAUUCCAACCCCCUAACCAUGUCCAAGCAACAUUAUUCAAAUCUUCAUUUUGCUUUUCGACUUGGUCUAUAAAAACAUGAUAGUAUGAGAACUAUCAUUCAGGUUGGUUAAACUAAGCAUCAGAGUUAAUGACAACAGGCUGAUGUUGGAGACUCCAAAGCAUACUACAUAAUCAGGUUACUUACAAGGAGAAAUAGUCAUGAAGCAUUUGAAUAUUUUCUUGACAAAUGGUCUGCAUAUUCAGAUACUUACAUGACUUGAAUUUCAAACAGCGAAAAAAGGACUUAUCUAACUCAAAUUAUGAAGUGAAUAGAACAAAAUAUUUACCCUACGAAUUCCAGGUCGUCUUCUCUCCGCUGAGAUGUCUAGUGUCUUCCACAUACAGGAUGAUGAGAUACUAUGUAACCUGAGGAAAGAUUGCCUGCAACUCCCCCCUUCAAAUACAUCAGACAACAUAAAUCUUGAGCGCCACUCUGCUGAAUUUAGCAUCUAUAUUCUUGUUCUUUUGUUGUACACGAGAUUUAACUCAUAAAAUGGAGAUGCAAGUAAAACAUUAGGAUGACUGUGUUGUUUCAAUCACCAUACACAAAUUAACAAAUAGAUAAAUAAAUAAAAGAUUUAAAAAUCACCAUUCUUUGAGCAGGCACUAUUUCAGGAACAUCGAUUUUAGUUAACAGGUGACAUAUAUUCACAAAGGUUGUCGCCGUCUUUUGAGAAUUUAGGACCAGAUGCUCUGCUACAAUCAGUAUUAAUGAACUUCUGUCCUUAAGUACAUACGCCAAUGUAGACACAUAAUUAUAUCUAUGUAUGUUCAAUAAGCACAAAUGAGAUUUUGAAAAACAACACAACUUUACCAAUCAUCAUAAUGUACAUGUCUUUACAAACAGUAGAAGUCCAAGUCAUAAAAGAAAAGGAUAGUCGACAUUACAUAUUCAUUACCGAAUGCCGACAAUACCAGUCAGGAAGUUAAUUGAUUCAUUCUCCCACUUACAAUGUGGCAGUCUCCUCAAGAAAUGACAUAAUCUAUGAAACGUGUAGAAUUUAAUAGGACAGGCACCCAAUCAGUAGGCACACAUAGAAACCAAAUCUUCAACAAGGCUGAGAGUUCCACCUUGUGGGGAUUCUUAACUAUAGCAAUUAAUUCAAAAUUUCAUGACGCUUUUUUAGAAAGAAAGAACUGUAUAAAGCCAGCGGUAGAUGUUCAUAAAUAAAUAAAACUAGUUUCCAAAGCUGAGAUGUUCAAGUGGAUGUUCAUACAUAGAACAUAAAUAAAUAAAACUAGUUUCCAAAGCUGAGAUGUCAAUGAGAUGACCUGAAAUAAUCCAACAAUGAAUGGAUCAUCUUAGCAACCAACUUAAUUUGGAUCCUCUCCUAAAUAAAUUUAACGUAAAAGAAUUUAAUGAAGAUAUUGCUCAACUUAAUCACCUUUGUUUGAUCAAUGUCCCGGUGCAUUUAGGGUCUGAUUCAGGCGAAAGAUAAGAAAUUACAGAUAUGAGUGGCAUUUUUCUUUGACUAUUUUUCAGAUUUUGCACAUUUAUGUAAAGCUUAUGCUUAGUGAAUUCAGGUUGAUACCCUACUUCGUCUUUGUUUCUCCAAGAUUUUCAUUUAUUCAAAAAAAACUGUUUGAUUCAACAAAUAAUGCCUAUGCACCAAAAGCCGAACUUUUCACAAAUAUUAAGAAAAUGAUAAGCAUGAGAAAGGAAUGUACAUGAUAUUCGAAAUGCAGUAUAACUUUUUCUAAACUUAAUGACCUAAUUUGUUUAAGAGAAACACGAAAUAUAUAUUAAUCCCGCUUCGGCAAUUACCUUUGAUUAAAUUGAAAGAAAAAACUUAACUCAAAUUAGCCUUUGUCAGGAAGACGUGUUUAACAACACCGUGGCAGGUGUGGUAAAUAAUUAGAGUGCGGUGUACUGUUGCUGCACCAUACAAACAAUAUGGAGGUGAAACUUGAGUAAUAAGAUCAGCCAAGUGCAAUAACCCAGGGAAAAUUGAAAUUAGGCAAUAACUUGAGGAGCUUAUCAACACCAACAAAUCGUACCAGCUCAACAUAAUCUUGUAGUUAAAAAUUAUUUCUAGUUCCCUUUCUAACUGGAUUCAUAUCAUAAAGAGUAAAUAUUUAAAGGAUGGACAACUGUACAUACUUGUUAUGUGCUCGAAUUGUAUUUUUCAAAGUCGUGAAUUUUCAUAUGUGCUGAGACUCCUGAAGCGCACUUUUAAAGCUACAUCUGUAUUAAGAGGCAAAUGUGCUUAACUGGACCAAAGAGAUGUUGGCACGCCACUUGAGGUGCAAAUAGAAUUCAACCACCAAGCCCUGAGAUGUUUUAUAUCUGCACUAAUACUUGACCAAGAAAGAGGUCAUACAAUUGUAAAAGACCAGAAGAGGAGGAAUUAGAGCAUUCAUGAAUGGAUGACUAAGAAGACAAGUUGCAUUUGGCAAAAAACUCACUCUACUUGCAUAAAUUUAGGAGUACACAUAUAGCCACAUUUUGCGUAAAAUUUUGAUAAAAUUACCAAUGAAAUGAUACGUAUAUGUUCCUGGGAUCAACAAACUGAGACAUAUGAAACCACAAACCUCGUAGGAAGAAUUCCGGAGCCAAGUGGACAUGGGUUGGACCAACAGCUGAACUUGGUUGAUUUUUGCAAUCUAGAAAAGCAAUGGAUACUUUAGAAAGUGAAAUAUAGGUAUGGAAGAGUUUUUUUCCUAGACCAAAUAGGCCCAGAUUACCAGCCAGUUCAAUUUUAAUAACUGGAAAUCAGACAGUUUAGCAUUUGUCACGGUGUUGGUUAACAUUUUCGAAUGUACACACACAAAUUUGCCUAUCAAGCACAAUAGGAGCCAAAACCUUUCCCGCUGUCGGUUCAGAAUAACAUGCAUCACAUGGAUAAAUUAAACACAUGGAUAGAUUAAGGACAAAGAACAAAUGCCUUAGAAUUAUAGUUCAAUAUAGUCUGACUCAAUAGAUUGGAUUGCUGGAUGUGGUGCUGUAUUAACUGUAACAAAAAAUUAACUGAUGGAAGCCUUGUCUGUAGGAACUUAAUGCAGCAGAAACUGUUGAAAUUGAAACUGGAAUAUUAGAAUCAUAUCCACAAAACGAGAACAUGGAUAUACAAGAAAACAUGCACACACUUUAUCAACUGCCAAUUACGUAAGUCGUCACAACUUUAGGGUAUAUUGAUUUGGCAAGGAAUUCUGUGUUGCAUCGACUGGACUACUCGUUUGUCCAAAUACUCAACUGCUGGCCUUGCCCCCCUUUAAAAAGAUGUUUGUAUAUAUAAUUUGUCUUUUGUUUCUUGUAAAUUUUUGGUACACCCAUGAGGUUCCAGUUAGUAUAGAUCGACCAUCUAUACUAACUGGAACCUCAUGUGUGUACCAAAAAUUUACAAGAAACAAAAGACAAAUUAUAUAUAGAGAACCAUGUUUUUGUACAGGUUCUCUACUUUUUGUAUACCACUUCUUUACCUAGAGAUUUCCAACUACAUUGAUACAAUUAUUAUCUUAAAGCUAUUUAAACAACAUACUGCUAGUUUUGAAAUUACAUGCUUGCAACGAGACCUACUAGACAAUAUGAACUACAAUUCGAUACGCCGUGGUCUUUAAGCUAAGCCAAAGCAAGAAUUAUUUAUACUGCCCGACAAAUUGGGAACUAGUGGCAGAAGACAUUGCGACAAGAAUCAAGUAGCAAGAUAAACAUCCGAUCCAUCAAAGAGAAAGUAGCCUGUAUAUUACUGCUUUACUGGGAAUUUAAACAGUAAUUUCAUAGUAAUCCUCAUCUUCACCUCCAUCUGAAGCAUUUAAUCUUGUAUCAUAGGAUUACAAAGCUUAUUCUUUGCAAAAUGUUGAACUCACAAUUCAAUGGUCCUAGAGUCUACAUUCACAUAUCCACGAAAAGCAUAAGAGACACAAGAAUCAGCUGCUUCCUACUAAGCUUUUCUUUUUAGGUUUUUCUUCUAAAGCUGCACUCGAAGCUCUUUGACUAUUUCAAAGAGCAUAAGUGAAAUUGAGGAUUAUGAAAGAAAAUAUCAAAGAGAAGAAAACAUCAGCUGCUGUUACUAAAACUUAAGCCUCGACUAUUUCAGCACGCGUCUUUCAAGCAAAUAACAAUUUGCUAACAUACGGUGAAUUAAGGGGUAAGUUACACGAAUAUGAGUUUUGCCAAAAGGACUUGAAAAGGUUUGAAUCUGACCUUAACCUCGUGGCUUGAGGGCUCCUUAAGAGACAUGCUGAUGAUAAGCUCCAAAUCUUCCUUAAACCAAGUAGUAACCAAUGUAAACACAUGUCAUGGACAUGCAUGGUUGGGGUGGGGUAGGGUUUAAUGAUAGAGAUUCCAAAAAAGAAACUGUAGGGGAGCAAAUCGAAAUGCGACAGCUACACUCUAUUAUCAGGCUUGAAUGGGAGCCAAUUAGAUAAUAGAUUUUUGUUUGGCGAGACCAUUUUCAGUUAACACAGGAAAUUGCAAGAUAGAACAGAAGAAGCGUCGCACAUGUGUUGCAGAAGCCAACGGGCAUAGGCUUGCAAAUAAGGUUAAAAUUAUGUAAUGAUUGCUAGCUUAAAAGUAAUAUAUAAUCAUGCAAAUACAGGCAGCUAGUGACAACUUGCAGGGCUUCAGCAAUGUAAUAGUUCUAAUAAAUAAGGAGGAGUUUCAGAAGAUCAUUUGUCUAGGACCUUUAUUGAUGGCUAAGCGAGGUAACAACAACAAUUACGCCUCACUCGCACACUAGCUUAGGUCGGCUAUAUGAAUCCUAUGUAUCCGUUGCAGUCUACCACUCAAUUAUUUGUCUUUUAGGACAAAAUAGAGAUUCUCUAAAUCUUACACCUAUCCCCACACUGUUAUACAAUCUCUAAACAAACUUAAAAGACUUCAAUCAAAUAUUGGAUCUAAUACAUGUGAUUGAUAGUCUACCUCAAUCGUCACGAUGUCACACCUAAGCUUAGAGCCCGUUUGGCCAUGAAUUUUUUUUCACUUUUUUCGAAAAAAUUUUACUUUUUUUUAAAUCAGUGUUUGGCUAUAAAAUUUUUAUGAAAAUUAAUUUUGGAAUUUUUCGAAAAUUUGAAAAACUCCAAAAAACUGUUUUUCAAAAUUUUCAGUCAGAUCACUCAUAAAAAUUCAAAAACAACCCAAAAUUAUAUUUAUGUCCAAACACAACUCUAAUUUUCAAAUACCAUUUUCACUUAGAAAAGUUUUUUCCCUUUUUUCCGGAAUUUUACAAUUCUUAUGUCCAAACGCUCACUUUGUCCAAUUAAAAAUAUCUAUUACGCAUUAGCCUUAAGGUCUAGACGAAGUCUUUUAAUUUAUAACUUUCCUCUUCAAAACUCAAUGUCCAUUGUCCACCAGAACCAAAUUUGAACAAUACCAGAGCACAUGAUCUAUACAGAAGACUCUAAGUCCUCUUAACAAGCAAAGCCACUCCUCUCCCAAACCACACGAACACACAUACAUAUAUACACACAGAAACAGGCACAACCCCCUAUUUGUUCAUUUCACCUAAGUUGCUAACGCUUGUGGAAUAGAAUGCCAUAAGAAAACGCUUGAAAUAAAGGAAAUUAGAAAGUACCUUGAGCCAUAGUGCCACAGGCCACAGCCCAGCGGCAUUGGAACCGGUUGGCCAAGCGCGAGCUUGCAGUGGCGAAAGUGAAGGAGCUGCUGCUUUUUCUAAUUUUCUUUUUAAA
rnacentral:lncRNA from 1 species